GACGAACGCUGGCGGCGUGCUUAACACAUGCAAGUCGAACGGAAAGGCCCUGCUUUUGUGGGGUGCUCGAGUGGCGAACGGGUGAGUAACACGUGAGUAACCUGCCCUUGACUUUGGGAUAACUUCAGGAAACUGGGGCUAAUACCGGAUAGGAGCUCCUGCUGCAUGGUGGGGGUUGGAAAGUUUCGGCGGUUGGGGAUGGACUCGCGGCUUAUCAGCUUGUUGGUGGGGUAGUGGCUUACCAAGGCUUUGACGGGUAGCCGGCCUGAGAGGGUGACCGGCCACAUUGGGACUGAGGUACGGCCCAGACUCCUACGGGGGGCAGCGGUGGGGAAUAUUGCACAAUGGGCGGAAGCCUGAUGCAGCAACGCCGCGUGCGGGAUGACGGCCUUCGGGUUGUAAACCGCUUUCGCCUGUGACGAAGCGUGAGUGACGGUAAUGGGUAAAGAAGCACCGGCUAACUACGUG
rnacentral:rRNA from 1 species